GACGUAGGUCUCAAGCGUUGUUCGGAUUCAUUGGGCGUAAAGGGUGCGUAGGCGGCGAGGCAAGUCUGGUGUGAAAUCCCGGGGCUCAACUCCGGAACUGCACUGGAUACUGCUUUGCUAGAGUACUGGAGAGGGAACUGGAAUUUACGGUGUAGCAGUGAAAUGCGUAGAUAUGCGGAGGAACACCGAUGGCGAAGGCAAUCCCCUGGACCUGUACUGACGCUCAUGCACGAAAGCGUGGGGAGCAAACAGG
rnacentral:rRNA from 1 species